rnacentral:rRNA from 1 species
AUUGAACGCUGGCGGCAGGCCUAACACAUGCAAGUCGGGCGAGCGGCGGACGGGUGAGUAAUGUAUGGGAAACUGCCUGAUGGAGGGGGAUAACGACUGGAAACGGUAGCUAAUACCGCAUAACAUCAGAUGUGCCCAGAUGGGGUUAGCUAGUAGGUGGGGUAAUGGCUCACCUAGGCGACGAUCCCUAGCUGGUCUGAGAGGAUGACACGCCAAACGUGAACUGAGACAAGGGCCAGACUCGUACGUGAGGUAGCAGUGGGGAAUAUUGCACAAUGGGCGCAAGCCUGAGUCAGCCAUGCCGCGUGAGUGAAGAAGGCCUUCGGGUUGUAAAGCACGUUCAGCGAGGAGGCGUUACUCGCAGAAGAAGCACCGGCUAACUCCGUGCCAGCAGCCGCGGUAAUUC